AUUGAACGCUGGCGGAAUGCUUUACACAUGCAAGUCGAACGGUAGAGGGGGCAACCCCUUGAGAGUGGCGAACGGGUGAGUAAUAUAUCGGAACGUGCCCAGUCGUGGGGAUAACGUAGCGAAAGUUACGCUAAUACCGCAUACGAUCUAAGGAUGAAAGCGGGGGACUCGCAAGAGCCUCGCGCGAUUAGAGCGGCCGAUAUCAGAUUAGGUAGUUGGUGGGGUAAAGGCUCACCAAGCCAACGAUCUGUAGCUGGUCUGAGAGGACGACCAGCCACACUGGAACUGAGACACGGUCCAGACUCCUACGGGAGGCAGCAGUGGGGAAUUUUGGACAAUGGACGCAAGUCUGAUCCAGCCAUUCCGCGUGCAGGAUGAAGGCCCUCGGGUUGUAAACUGCUUUUGUACGGAACGAAAGGUUUCUAUUAAUACUAGGAGCUCAUGACGGUACCGUAAGAAUAAGCACCGGCUAACUACGUGCCAGCAGCCGCGGUAAAGUG
rnacentral:rRNA from 1 species